AACCCAUGGUGAGGACACCUUUUUAGUAGGUCCUUAUAUCUUUCCCAUGCAUCGUAAAGUGUUUCUAAAUCCAUCUACACAAAAGAAGAUAUAUCAUUCCUCAAUUU
rnacentral:snoRNA from 1 species